rnacentral:rRNA from 1 species
AUUGAACGCUGGCGGCAUGCCUUACACAUGCAAGUCGAACGGCAGCACGGGUGCUUGCACCUGGUGGCGAGUGGCGAACGGGUGAGUAAUACAUCGGAACAUGUCCUGUAGUGGGGGAGAGUCCGGCGAAAGCCGGAUUAAUACCGCAUACGAUCUACGGCUGAAAGCGGGGGACCUUCGGGCUUCGCGCUCUGGGGGUGGCGGUGGGCGGAUUUGCUUGUUGGUGGGGGAAAGGCCGACAAAGGUGACGAUGCGUAUUUGGUCUGAGAGGUUGAGCAGACACACUAGGACAGAGACACAGCCCAGACUCCUACGGGAGGCAGCAGUGGGGAAUUUUGGACAAUGGGCGAAAGCCUAAUCCAGCAAUGCCGCGUGUGUGAAGAAGGCCUUCGGGUUGUAAAGCACUUUUGUCCGGAAAGAAAUCCUUGGCCCUAAUACGGUCGGGGGAUGACGGUACCGGAAGAAUAAGCACCGGCUAACUACGUG